CUACGAAGGCUUCUCCAGUUGCACCGUGUUCCCAGCAUGGAUGGGUGAGCAGCGUUGCCGUUACAUGUUGUCCUUUUGUGGAGGGAGAGUGACUACAUCCCUAAUCGCACCAUAUUCCCAUUAUAGUGCACUAAUUUUGACCGGAGGCCUAUAGAGCGCUAUCGGGGGGGAAUAAGGGUGCCAUUUGGGAUGCAUGCAGUGCUAUUCCAAACCACUGUACAAGAGAACAAUUGGGCCACUGUGACAGUAUGUUGGUAGUAGUGUAUGUGUGACAUACUGUCAUCAAACUCAAAGCGUUAUGACAUCAGGCUCUUUCUUCAGGGUAAGCACAUUUUGUCAGGCAGCAGUCUCCCACUCACAAGAUGUGAUGAAUGUGGGCUAUUCAUUAAACUGGGCUACAUUGACAUACACAUCUGUUUUAUUCAAGAGACCGAGAACAGGUUUAUAAAGUAUAUAACUUCAAUUGCAGUAUAUAACUACAAUUACAGCAUAUUAUAACUUGAGGCCUAGUCUCUUUUUAAAAUGGUGGAUGUUUCUCUCUAAAUAACACAAACAUGUACCUGAAAUGGCUGACUGUCUGCCUACUACUAUGUGUACAAAUGUCAACAUAGGCUAAGUUGAUGGCAUGAACGUCAGAUUCCUUAUAAGUACCUAUUUGAUUCAUUAUCAGGUACAUAUAGUUUGUCUUGGAUAUUCCUCUCUGGCUCCAGUGCUCUCUCCUUUGCUGCUCUUUUCACUAUCAGACCAGCUCUCGACAGUGGUAGGAGCGUCAUUGCUGCACUACUCCUCGAUAUUAUCUCAGGUAGGCAAUGAAAUAUUAUCUCAGGUAGGCUAUGAAAUAUUAUCUCAGGUAGGCAAUGAAAUACUAUCUCAGGUAGGCAAUGAAAUAUUAUCUCAGGUAGGCAAUGAAAUAUUAUCUCAGGUAGGCUAUGAAAUAUUAUCUCAGGUAGGCUAUGAAAUACUAUCUCAGGUAGGCAAUGAAAUACUAUCUCAAGUAGGCUAUGAAAUAUGUCUCAGGUAGGUGUUUGUGCUCGCUUAAGGAUUUGUCACUACAUUAGAGCAUUAUGACAUGGAGUGGAAUCCAGAUUGAUAUGAAUCCAAACAGAUAUGCUCCGUAUGGUUAAAUGGAAUAUCAGUUUGUAUUCCAGGUUGCAAA
ensembl:lncRNA